rnacentral:rRNA from 1 species
AGCGAACGCUGGCGGUAUGCUUAACACAUGCAAGUCGAGCGCGAAAGUGACUUCGGUCAUGAGUAGAGCGGCGGACGGGUGAGUAACACGUGGAUAAUCUGCCUUUAGGACUGGGAUAACCCUGGGAAACUAGGGCUAAUACCGGAUAAGACCACAGGUUCCAUGGAACCAGGGGUAAAAGGCGGCCUUCGGGCUGUCGCCGAAAGAUGAGUCCGCGUCCCAUCAGGUAGUUGGGAGGUAACGGCUCACCAAGCCGAAGACGGGUAGCCGACCUUAGCGGGUGAUCGGCCACACGGGGACUGAGACACGGCCCCGACUCCUACGGGAGGCAGCAGUGGGGAAUCUUGGGCAAUGGGCGCAAGCCUGACCCAGCAAUACCGCGUGAGGGAUGAAGGCCU